rnacentral:rRNA from 1 species
GACGAACGCUGGCGGCGUGCUUAACACAUGCAAGUCGAACGGAAAGGCCCCCAUCUUGGUGGGGGUGCUCGAGUGGCGAACGGGUGAGUAACACGUGGGUGAUCUGCCCUGUACUUCGGGAUAAGCUUGGGAAACUGGGUCUAAUACCGGAUAGGACCAUGGUUUAGUGUCUCAUGGUGGAAAGAUUAUUGUUUUGGUGCAGGAUGAGCUCGCGGCCUAUCAGCUUGUUGGUGGGGUAAUGGCCUACCAAGGCGUCGACGGGUAGCCGGCCUGAGAGGGUGGACGGCCACAAUGGGACUGAGAUACGGCCCAGACUCCUACGGGAGGCAGCAGUGGGGAAUAUUGCACAAUGGGCGCAAGCCUGAUGCAGCGACGCCGCGUGGGGGAUGACGGCCUUCGGGUUGUAAACUCCUUUCGUUAGGGACGAAGCCGCACUUUUUUUGGGUGUGGUGACGGUACCUUUGUUAAGAAGCACCGGCUAACUACGUG